rnacentral:lncRNA from 1 species
AUGAUUGUCGAUGGCUGCCUCUGCUUUUACAGGAAUAAGGAGACAAAGAUGCCAAUAACGAGGCGUCUUUCUGGAGACAGCGACUCGUCUACGGCCUCUUCCAAGGGAGGAGGAGGAGGGCGGCGCUCCCUUGGUGGCACAUCGUCGCGCUCUGGUGAAGAGGUAGUGUUUCUUGUAAACCGGAAAGAAGGGAAGCACAUGAUUGAAAGGGCGGGGGCAGGAAAUCGGACCCCAUCUCAGCGACCCUCUAUUACCCGUGCACGCAGCAAAUCUCAAGAACGUCCCACGCUUGCCCCAAUGCUCAAACCCAACCCUCCAUCUGGAUCCUCAGAUGGAACACGAACGUCUCGCACAGAAAGGGGGCGCACCCUGGGGCCUGAGAUGCAUAGGAGGCUCCAUCCGCCUCGCUCCCACAGCCAGAGCAUGUUAACCAGACCGACUUGGUCAGGUGAUGGCAGCCCUGGACAGGCCGCCUCCUCUAAAGAUCCUCAGCCGCCACCGUCAGAAAGAAGAGAAGACCUUUGCGUGAAACAGGCGCCACCGUCCUCUCCUAGAGUAGCUGUUGGCCUUGCUAAGAGGCAGUCAACAUCAUGUUCUAACUCUCCUCUUAAAGGCGUCCAGAGCAACAACAGUAGCCCCGGCAAAAAGACAACAACUACUCCCAAACCCCCUGCUCCACGUUCACCAUCCAUGGGAAGAGGCAGGCUUCUACCACCUGUCACCCCUGGAGGGCGACGUUCAACACAAUCAUCUCCUCGUCACGUUAGUAACCAUGCUCCCCGCUCCCCUCGGUUCUCGCAGACUCCUCGCUUUGCUGGGCGAGGCCAACCUGGAAACAGCUCUAGCCUGGAGUGCCAGGAGCCUGAGAGACUUGGCUUUGGAUACCAGAUGCUGCCACCAUUAGACCCAAAGAGGGAACAGGACCUGUAUCGCAGCUUUGAGGCCGAGUUUCUGGCAAAUACCCAGAAAGUCAGGGAGAAUUCAGCUGAAAAGACUCCAGAAAGAGCGUCCCUGCAGGUACCCGGGAAACCACAAGAAACUGCACCCACUGAGCCUAAUGUCUUUGACUUUACCGACUCCUCCUCUAACUCUUCCACUUCCUCCCUAAAUGUGGGCACAAAGACGGGACUUCUGCCUGAACUGAAGGAAUCCAAGAGGACUAACCUCCGUCACUUCUCGCAGGAGGAUCCUUUGAAAAUGCUUCCUAGAAACAAUCAUAGAGGUUCUCUUGGUCAAGGAGAGCCUGAACCUUGGGGGGAUCAUAAAGGGGGUCUCAGGAAGCUCCCAGCCAUUUCCAGCUCAUUAGAUGAGAGAGAUGUUCCAUCGUCUUUAUCUAGAGAGACAGACAGGCUAAUGAAUCACAUUCCCUCACAGCCUGAAUCUCGUUGCAGAAAUAUGAAUGGAGUACUUGGAAAUUGUCCUCUUACUGGGAGACUCACUGGUCAACACAGCCAGCUUGAUUUGAGCUCUACUGCUGAAGGAGACGUCCCACUAGGAAACCAUCUUUCAAGCCUUCCUUUUGACAACGAUGACAGGAGAGACGACCUUCCACCUCUUGAAGUUCGUCAUUCACCCACACCCCUCCCCCCUUCUGAAGACUGCUCCUUCCAGGAUUCUUCAAGUGAAAAUUCCUCCACGUGCUUCAGCUUGAGCGAAUCCCGCUCUGAGUCCCCCCCUCCGUCAAUAACGCUGACCAAUGGGGAAACUGAGCAAAAGAAUGCUAACAAUGUAGCCCCGGUCUCCAAGCUGGGACGAUUCAGGCCUCGCACUGACAACAGGCCCCAGAACACACGCUCACGUAUCCCCACACCAGUCGGCUACAGAGACGUCCACACUCGUGAAACACUUUCACCCUGUCACACCCCACCGCUGUCUCCUAAGAGCUCCCACCCCGCCGGUUGUCCAACCACAUGCUCCUACCCUGCACAGAGCGGCCUGGAUGUUGAAGCUUUAGCACAAAACUGA